CCUACGGGGGGCAGCAGUGAGGAAUAUUGGUCAAUGGGCUUACGCCUGAACCAGCCAAGUCGCGUGAGGGAAGACUGCCCUAUGGGUUGUAAACCUCUUUUGUCAGGGAGCAACGCCGGCUACGUGUAGCCGGACUGAGAGUACCUGAAGAAAAAGCAUCGGCUAACUCCGUGCCAGCAGCCGCGGUAAUACGGAGGAUGCGAGCGUUAUCCGGAUUUAUUGGGUUUAAAGGGUGCGUAGACGGAAUGCCAAGUCAGCGGUAAAAUCGCGGGGCUCAACCUCGCUCCGCCGUUGAAACUGGCGGUCUUGAGUGGGCGAGAGGUAUGCGGAAUGCGUGGUGUAGCGGUGAAAUGCAUAGAUAUCACGAAGAACUCCGAUUGCGAAGGCAGCAUACCGGCGCCCAACUGACGCUGAAGCACGAAAGCGUGGGUAUCGAACAGGAUUAGAUACCCGGGUAGUC
rnacentral:rRNA from 1 species